rnacentral:tRNA from 1 species
GCCGGAGUGGCGGAACCGGGAGAGGCGACGGAUUCAAAAUCCGCUUCCCUUUUUGGGUGUGUGGGUUCGAGUCCCUCCUCCGGCA